GUGCCUAUGGUGUAGCGGUAACACAGCAGCUUGUGGAGCUGUUUUCUCCGGUUCGAAUCCGGAUAGGCACC
rnacentral:tRNA from 1 species